AUAACAUAAAAUGUGGAGAUAAUGAUUCGUUUUCGAUGAGUUUCCAGCUACGAGAUACUGAAUGCAUAAAUCAGUUAACUGCUCUUACUAAUGUUUAGCUGUCUUUUCGUUUGUCUUCCUUACCCCUUUUGCAGUGGGUUGGGGAUAUAUCAAAAAGUACGGUAGGCAAAAAGAAUGAUUUGUGCUAAAUUCUAGUUACUUUCUGUACUAGGCUGGACAGCCAGUGGUGGUGUUAGUAGAUUGAUCACCAAGCCAUCCAUCAAUGACAUUAUGGCGCAGCAAAAUUGUGGCCACUGGGGCCAGGAAGAUUGGUGAAAAGUGGUGUUAGUGGUGCUUUCUAUAUCUGGAGGCACAAUUAGGUGGUCCAAGUAGGAUUGUUGAUUACUUUGUUUACCCAACACUAAAAAGCAAAGAAUUUUUUAGGACAGCAAUAUGGCCUACUAAUAGGGUGUUAACAAUCUUUAAUCUUUAGUUCUUUAUUAACCACUUUUCUCCAUUUAAUAUAAAGUAGCCUCAAUGAUUUAGUCAUGUGAGAUUCCCACAGCAACUGAUCUGGAGUCUAGACUAGCUGCAGCAACAGUACGUAUAAGUAUUUCUCAAUCAGCUACGCUGGUCAAUUGCUUGUGAUCAGUUAGUCGAGGGGAGUUAUAUACAGUAUGAAUUUUGACUUGGUAGCAAACUAGCAAUUCAGCAGCAGCAACCUGUGGAUGGUGUGAUGGUGGUGGCAGGUGAGUUGUUUAAGCAGCUAAUGCUUACUGCUUCGACAUGAAUGCCGCUCAAUUUAGCCAUGGAGAAUAUGUAAAGCUUGGUUUAUUUGAACUUGAAGUAUGAUGCAAGAAAUCAACCGACCAGGUGUUUUAUUUGGAUAGGAUGCGGGCAAUAUCAUGUGAUACAUACUAUAUAUCUAUAUCCCCAUACACGUAGCUUCCCUACAACUUCCCGUAAAUGCAACCUUGAAGAACUGCUGGGGAACGAUGCCAUGCGACUACCACAUAUGGACAUUAUGGCAUCUAAUUCCUCGUAGUAAAUACCAUGGACCGAUGUGCAGAAAAGAGAUAUGAAAAGCAGGGCACUUUCUAUUGCCACACAUCUACUGACCAACGAUUAUAGUGCAUUUGUAAUCCAAUAAAGGUCAAAAUAAUAAUGAUAAGGCAGGUCAAUCACUCACAAAUUGCUGUCAUUAAUAUCUUACUAAAGAUAUGCAAUCGUAGCCCACAACUUGAUGGUAUGCAACUUUCCUA